GACUGGUCACCUGCUUUACACUCGCAUGCAGCAUACAGCAGUGCGAUAUGGGGGUGUAUUCCCCACUGUGAUGGCAAGGACCGAACAGCAUGUUGUCAGCUUUGAGUGACUGUUUCAAACUCGCUCAACUCACCAGCUGCCUAACUGUUAACUCCAUUUGUGGCUG